rnacentral:lncRNA from 1 species
GCACACGUGCCGGCUGCGUGCAAGGCUCCUGCUGAACCGGAUGUACUGCACACGGCUUCCGCUGCAGGCACCUGCAUCUGGACUAUGGAAAAGCUGUGGUGACCCGAAGCUGCCAUGUAAGAAAGGUGGGGACCUAAAUCACAAUGUCAUCAUAAGAAGAUAGAGAGAGACACAAGGAAUGCACAAAGAAAAGGCACGUGAAGACACAGGGAGAAGGCAGCCAUAUGCAAGCCAGUGAGAGAAGCCUACCAACAUGGUGCAUUGCUCUUGAAGGCCCAGCCUCCAGAACUGUGAGAAAACAAAUCUCUGUUUCUG